AUUGAACGCUGGCGGCAGGCCUAACACAUGCAAGUCGAACGAGUGGCGGACGGGUGAGUAAUGUCUGGGAAACUGCCUGAUGGAGGGGGAUCACCUUUGGACACGGUAGCUAAUACCGUAUACCCUCAGAUGCCCCCAGAUGGGAUUCGCUUGUUGGUGGGGUAACGGCUCACCAAGGCGACGACCCCUAGCUGGUCUGAGGGGAUGACCAGCCACACUGGGACUGAGACACGGUCCAGACUCCUACGGGAGGCAGCAGUGGGGAAUAUUGCACAAUGGGCGCAAGCCUGAUGCAGCCAUGCCGCGUGUAUGAAGAAGGCCUUCGGGUUGUAAAGUACUUUCAGCGGGGAGGCGUUACCCGCAGAAGAAGCACCGGCUAACUCCGUGCCAGCCGCCGCGGUAAUAC
rnacentral:rRNA from 1 species